rnacentral:rRNA from 1 species
GAUGAACGCUAGCGGCAGGCCUAAUACAUGCAAGUCGAACGGUGUCUUCGGACAUAGUGGCGCACGGGUGCGUAACACGUAUGCAACCUACCUUACAUUGGGGGAUAGCCUUUCGAAAGGGAGAUUAAUACCGCAUAAGACAGUAGCUGGGCAUCCAGCAGCUGUUAAAGAUUUAUCGAUGUAAGCUGGGCAUGCGUCCAAUUAGCUAGUUGGUGAGGUAACGGCUCACCAAGGCAAUGAUUGGUACGGGAACUGAGAGGUCAAUCCCCCACACUGGCACUGAGAGACGGGCCAGACUCCUUCGGGAGGCAGCAGUAGGGAAUAUUGGGCAAUGGACGCAAGUCUGACCCAGCCAUGCCGCGUGCAGGAUGAAGGCGUUAUGCGUUGUAAACUGCUUUUAUACAGGAAGAAACGACUCUUGCGAGAGGCAUUGACGGUACUGUAUGAAUAAGCACCGGCUAACUCCGUGCCAGCCGCCGCGGUAAGAC